GGUGAAAUGCGUAGAUAUCAGGAAGAACACCGGUGGCGAAGGCGACUCUCUGGUCCAUUACUGACGCUGAGGCGCGAAAGCUAGGGGAGCAAACAGGAUUAGAUACCCUGGUAGUCCUAGCUGUAAACGAUGGGCACUAGGUAGUGGGAAUUCUGACAUUCUCGCUGCUGGAGCUAAUGUAUUAAGUGCCCCGCCUGGGGAGUAUGCUCGCAAGGGUGAAACUCAAAGGAAUUGACGGGGGCUCACACAAGCGGUGGAGCAUGUUGUUUAAUUCGAGAAUACGCGAAGAACCUUACCUGGGUUAGAAAUGAAGGGAUUAACUCUGUGAAAGCAGAGGGAUUGCCCCUCGGGGUGUAACCUUCUACAGGUGCUGCAUGGUUGUCGUCAGCUCGUGUCGUGAGAUGUUGGGUUAAGUCCCGUAACGAGCGAAACCCCUGUCCUUAGUUGCCAGCGAGUAAUGUCGGGGACUCUAGGGAGACUGCCGGUGUUAAACCGUGAGGAAGGUGGGGAUGACGUCAAAUCAUCAUGGCCUUUAUAUCCAGGGCUACAAACGUGCUACAAUGGUCGGUACAAAGGGACGCAAGACCGUGAGGUGGAGCAAAUCCCAAAAAACCGGCCCCAGUUCAGAUUGGAGGCUGAAAUUCGCCUCCAUGAAGUUGGAAUCGCUAGUAACCGCGUAUCAGCUAUGACGCGGUGAAUGUGUUCCUGAGCCUUGUACACACCGCCCGUCAAGCCAUCCAAGCAGGGCACACCCGAAAUCGCUGACCCAACCCGCAAGGGGGGGAGGUGCUGAAGGUGAGCCUUGUGAGGAGGACUAAGUCGUAACAAGGUAGCC
rnacentral:rRNA from 1 species